AGCAGGUAGUAGAUUGGAAGAAUUGGUUGUAUUCCCGUUUCUCCCAGCUUCAGGUUAAAAGUAGAUGUUUGUGUGGAUCAAAAAUAAUCUUUUUAUAAAACGGAGGUCAAAUUCACUUCUAUCCAAUUGACCUGCUCACCUAUGACUAUUGAGAUGAAACAAUUGCCAAUUCACUUUCACUCUGAAGCAAAUCAGGAACAGAAAAAAAAAGAAGAAAACUAGGAUUUCUACUGAGCACAGAUCAUCCCUCAUUCAUCCCUCCAGUGAAGAAAGGUUUGAUCCAUGCCUAACUGGAAAGAAAUUCACCUGUUGUAUAUUUAAUGUUACCAUCAAACCCAUCCUACCCCAACUCAGCAAUAACUCAAGCACUUGCCUCAUCCAGGCUGGACUUGAGAGCAGCUGGAACUAUCCAUGGCAGAUGGUGAGUUGGUCUCACACUUCCAUCUGUUUGAAGAUGAUAUUCACCAGGAAAACAUUCAAGACCUGCAAAUACAUCUAUGUUUUACAUAUGCACGUAGAAAAUAUGGGAAAACAGCAAUUUGGUCCCCUGAGCUACCUCCAACAUUCAAUAAGGUCGUGGCUGAUGUGUUUGUGUUUUGAAUGCCACAUCCCCAUCUACCCUGUAACCUUUUGAUUCAUUUCCCGAACAAGCAUUGAUCUACCUCCACAUAAAAACAAAGCUCAAUGACCCACAGCUUGGGUAUUAUGUGUAGUUCUGGAAUCCACAUUAUAGGAGGGAUGUGAUUGCACUGGAGAAGGUGAAGAGGAAAUUUAACAGGAUGUUGACUGGGCUGCAGAGUUUGAGCUAUGACGAGAGAUGGGACAGAUUGGAGUUGUUUUUCUUGGAGCAGAGGAGACUGGUGGCAGUACAGGCAGAUCAUAACAUACAAGGAUAUACAGAUCGUAGGGUGUUUAGACAGAGAAAGGCACACAAGGUUACAACUGCACAGGAGGUGCACAAAAAGCGAGGUCAGAAAAUUAGAGAGGUCCAGUCAGCAGUCUAAUAACAAAAGGGAAGACACUGUUCUUGAACCUGAUGGUACGUGCAUUCAAUCUUCUGUAUCUUUGACCUGACAGAAGAGGUUGGAAGAGAUUAUUACCGCGGUGGGAGAAGUCCUUGAUGAUGUUGGCAGCCUUUCCACGGCAACGAGAAGUGUAACUAGAGUCCAUGGACGGGAAGCUUUCAUGAUUGUCUCGGCCGUGCACACAACUUUCUGUCGUUUAAUACGGUCCUGGGCAGAGCGGUUGAAGUACCAAGCUGUUAAGCACCCAGAUAGAAUGCUUUCUAUGGUGCGUCUGUUAAAGUUGAGUAGAGUUCUUAUGGACAUGCUGAAUUUCCUAAGCUUUCUGAGGAAGAAGAGGCAUUGUUGUGCCUUCUUGACCAUUGCAUCUGCAUGGGAGUUCCAUGACAGAUUGUUGGUUAUUGACAUGCUCUCAACCCUGUCCUGGGAAAGUGGUGCUCACUGCCUGCAAGAGUAAUGGAGGCAGAAAUCCUCAUAACAUUGAUGAAGUAUUUAGAUGUACACUGCAAUACCAAGGCAUACAAGGAUGUGGGCCAACUACUGGAAAAUACAAUUAGAAUAGUUAGAGUGUUGUUUUUGGACCAGCGCAGACGCGAAUGGCCGAAAGACCUUUUUUUGUACUGUAGACCUCAAUGACUGUGACCCUGCCUCCAUUGGCUUCUGAGGUGAGUUACAAAGUCACUCAACACUCAAAGAAAAGGAUUCUUCUCAUCUCUGUCAAAAAGGGUGACCCCUAAUUUUCAACCAUUGACUCCAAUGAUUGUACUGACCCACAAGUGGAAACAUCCUUUCUACAUGUACUUUAACAGGAAUAUUCAGGGUCUUAUUCACUUUAAUCAUAUUACGCUUUACUCUUUAAAUCUCCAGUGGAAACAUGUCCACUCUAUCCAACUUAUCCUCAUAAGACAAGUGCACAUUGAACUUAAUACGUUCUCUGAACUGCUUCCAAUGCAUUUACAUCCUUCCUGAAAUAAGGAUACCAAAAUUCACACAGUAUUUGAGAUGUGAUUUCACCAAUAGCCUGUAUAACUGAAGAAUAUCAUCCUUACUUUUAUGUACAAUUCCUCUCAUAAUAAUGGAAAACAUCUCGUCAGCCUCCUUGAUUUGUGUGCAGUAUCUGCAUACUAAUCUUUUGUGACUCAUGCCCUAUAACACAUAGAUCUCUCUGCACCGUGGAAUUUUGCAAUCAUUUUCCAAAUAAAUAACCAGACAGAGUCAACAUGGUUUUGUCAAAGGAAAUCAUGUCUAACUAAUUUAUUGGAGUUAUUUGAAGAAGUAACUUGUGCUAUAGAUGAAGGAGAACCAGUGAAUGGAUUGUGCUUAGAUUUCCAGAAGACAUUGGAUAAGAUGCCACAUCAGCAGUUAUUAUGGGAAAUAAAAGUGCAUGGUGUAGUGGGUAACAUAAUGGCAAUGGAUAGAAGAUUGACUGGUGAACAGGAAACAGCGAGUAGGAAUAAGUGGGUCUUUUUCAGGCCUGUAGGAUGUCACAAGUGCCACAGGGGUUGGAGCUGGGACCUGAACUCUUGAUAAUUUAUAUACAUGAUCUUGAUGAAGGAGCUGAAGAUAUGGUUAUAGCUUAAAUUUGCUGGUGACACAAAGGUAGGUAAGGAAGUGAGUUGUCAAGAGGACAUAAGGAGCCUACAGAGGGAUAGAAAUAGAUUAAGUGAAUAGGCAAAGAUCUGAGAAAUGGUGUACAAUAUAGAAAACUGUCAAAUUGCCCAUUUUGGCAGGAAGAAUGAAAAAGAAACAUAUUAUCUAAAUGGCGAGAGAUCGCAUAGCUCUGAGAUGCAGAGAGAUCUGGAUGUCCUAGUGCAUGAAUUGUAGAUAGUAUGCAGAUCGAAUAGAAUGCUAUGUUUUAUUGUGAGAUUAUGUUUUCAUUAUACAUGGCAUUGGUGAGACCAUGUGGAAUAUUGUGUUCAGCAGUGGUCACUGUACUUAUGGAGGAUGUGAUGGAAGCAGAUCAGACAAGGUUUACUAGAUUAUUAUCUGGAAUGAGUGAAUUGCCUUAUGAGGAAAGGCUAGACAUACUGGGCCUGUAUCCUUUGGAGUGUAGAAGAUUAAGAGGUGAUUUAAUUGAAACAUAAAAGAUCCUGAAGGGACUUAACUGGGUGGAUGUGGAAAGGAUGUUUCCUCCUGUGGGAGAAUGUUGAAAUUCACUAAUUUCAUCACUCCUUUCCAUCUCCUGAUUUAUAACAAUGACAGGAAUGAUUUUUGUAUCCUCUGUAGUGAAGGCAGAGCAAAAUAUUUGUUUAAUUUAUCUGCCAUUUCCUUAUUAACUGCUAUUGACUCCCCAAUCUGACUUUCCAGAAGAUCAACAGUCACUUUACUUGCUCCUUUCUUUUGAAAUACCUGCAAAAACACUUGCUUUCUGUUUUUUUUCACAUUCUAGGCUAGCUUCCUCUCACUCUAAUUUCUUCCUCCUGAUAAAUCUUUCAGUCUUUCUCUGUGGUUCUUUAUAUUCUGACCAAUCAUCUGACCUGCCACUCAGCUUUGUGCAGUUAUAUGCUUUUCCCAAAGUUUGAUGUUUUGCUUAAUUUCUUUAGUUAAUCACAGAUGGUUCUCCCUUGCAAAUUUUUCUUUGUACAGCAAACUUUUUAUUAACCAGUAUUUAUGGGACCUGGAAUGUUCCAGUUGAUUAAAUAUUCCAGUUGAUCAAGAGGUCCUCGUGAUCAGUGUAAAAACACACACUAAGUAAUAGAAACAUAAUGCAGGGGGUAUACAAAUAUUCUUUAUUUACAGCAUAAAUCAGUUCAAUAAUAAUGCAGCUUUGCCUUAAAUAAAACUUACUGGCAGAGAGGCUUCUCACUUGCACCCUCAACUGACUACUCAGACGUUGUGGAGAUCGUGACAAUACAGUAAACUUCUGGUUUUUAAGGUGUAUAAUUUUUGGUUUUAAUUUUAAGAUGCUGGUUAAAAAAAGUUCACUGUAGAAUACACAUAUUCUGAAUAUUCUGAAAUAUCCCAUUAAAUGUCUGCCGAUGCAUCUUUAUUUAUCUAUCCCCAAGCCUUGUAUGCCUAUUUGUUUCAGCUAGCUCAGGUUUCAUGCCCACAUAAUUGCCUUAAUUUAUAUUUAACAGACUAGUCUUGGACCCAGUCUUCUCCCUUAAAAACUUAUGUAAAAUUCAAGCAUAUUGUGGUUGCUGCUACCUUGUGGGUCCUUUUACUCUGAGAUAAUUAGUUAAUCCUAUCACAAUAUGAAAUACCAAGUAUAGUAUAACCUUCUCUCUGGUCAGUUCCAAAACAUGCUGCUCUAAGGAACUAUCGCAAGAGAAUUAUAUGAAUUCCUCAUCUAGGCCGCUACUGCCAAUCUGAUUUUUCCAGUUUGAAUGUGAAUAAAUUCCCAUGAUUAUUGUCAUCCUUUUCUCACAAGCACCCACUAUUUCUUAUUGUAUACGUUGUCCCACAUUGUAGUUACUGUUAGGGAGCCUGUAGACAUACCUACAAGUUGCUUCUUUCUACCACUCUUCCUCAUCUCCAACCAAAUCGAUUCCAAAUCCUGACCUCCUACACCAAGAUUAUCUCUAACUGUUACACAAAUGUCAUCCUUGGAAACAGGGCAAACCCUUCACCUAUACUAAGCUUCCUAUUUUUUAAAAUAUCAUAUAUGCCCCUCUAUAUUCAGGCCCCAAUCAUUGUCAUCCUGCAGCCACAUCGCUGAAAUGGCAAUUAGAUCAUAUGUGUUUACUUCAAUGCAUGCCAUCAGUUUGCUUACUUUGUUACAGAUGUGACGUACAUUCAGAUUCAGAGCUUUUCACUUUUUUGUUAUCUUUGUGACAUCCAGGCUUGCUUGUUGGUAUAUUCUUAGCUUUUACAUGCUGUCUCUUCCUGCCAUUCAAUGAUCCUCAUUUCCCAAAUAUAUUUAGCUCUUACCUUUUCUCCACUCUUGGAUCUCAGCAGCUUUGAAUUUAGGUGUUCAAGACGGUGUUGGAUAAUAAUUUGGGUAGAAAUAAUGUGGGGAAAAGUGGGAAAUUGGCAACGGAUAACGCUGCUCAUUUGAAGAGCCAAUGCUCUGAAUGGUCUCCUUCUACACAGUGCCACCUGUAUGAUUCUAUGAUAUACCACAUCUUUGAACAUUUGAAACUUUGCCCCUACUGUUUAGUUUGAAAACCUCUCUACUUCCCUGGUUAUGUGGCUCACAAGAUCACUGCCUCUGCACAGUUCUGAGUUGACCAUUCCAAUAGUGUAGGCCCCACUUCCCCCAGCAAUGGUGUCAGUGGUCCGUGAACUGGAAACACUUUCUUGUACACCAGUCUUUGAGCCAUAUAUUGAUUUGUCUAAUUUUAUGUAUCCUAUGCCAGUUUGCAUGCCAUUCUGGGAAUAAUUCAGAGAUUAUAACCUUUGAGGUUCUGCCCUUCAAGUCGGUGACUAGCUGUUCAUACAGUCUAUGCCGCAGAAGGUUUUGUGCAAUAGUAGUGGCCUGAUCGCUGAGAAAGGAGACCCAAGUUCAAAACCCACCUGCCCCACAGGGGUGUAAAAACAGCUCUGAAAUGAUAAAUUAAAAAAUAUCUGCUCUCCAUGCAGAACCUCUUUCCUAGUUCUACCAACAUAAUUGAUACCUACAUAGAUUAUGACGACUAGAUCUUCCCUCUCCCACUGCAUGUUACUUUCCAGCCUUUUUUCCUUUUACCCAGUCUGUUGAUUUAAUUCUGAAUGUCUAUCAGUAUAAUCCGUAAGCUCACCUGAUCUCCCAUCAACAUGAUGAACAACCUCAGAACUUGGGGUGAUAUAAUGGCUCAGUGGUUAGCACUGCUGCCUCACAGUG